UUCAGCAACUAAUUGAUCAAAUUAUUUUCUAUUUUUUUUUAAAGGAGGACUAAUUCUGGUUGUCCUAUUUAAAUAACUACAGUGCCAUUAAGAGCAAAAAGAAAAUCAGUAAAAACAUUUGCUCCUGAACUCUGAGUGACUUAAAUAAAGAUGACAUAUGAAUAAAGAAGGGGGAAAAAGGAUUCUUUAAAUAUCUAACAAGGUACUGAGUCAGACACAGCAAUCUCCGGCAACAGAAAAAGUGAAAAAGGAAACAUUUAAAGUAAGACAACUGUGUGAUGCUGGGACUCACAGUGCAGUGCCUUCUGUUGUAGCAAGUGUCUAUAUUGCUAUGAACAACCCAGACAAUGCCAGAAUGUUGUAGCAGUAAGGACCACAGACCCACAUUUCAGCUUAAGACCAUCAUUUACUGAAAUCUGCUUAUAGGAAAAUGUGAUUAGCUGGAAGGUGAGUAGUUUGAUUGGUCUUCCCUCUUAGUAGUUCGAAGUUACAAAUAAGUUACAAAUGCUAUUUUAUAGUUACAAGGAAUACUUGUAUUUGAAUAGUGGUAACUCAUUUUUAAUUGAUCUGCCAUCCAUGUUGUCCUUCUAAGAAUUCUCUUUUUAGUCAGUGGUCUCGUCUGAUGGAACAAUAUCAUACCCAGAGAUUUCUUGUAACACAAAAGAACCCUGAGCUUCUUAGGUAGGAGGGGUAAAAGGAAAACAGAUGAAGAGAGCCAAAUAGCCCCAUUUGGUUGAUGUAGAUAUAGAUGGGUCUUUCAAUCCAUUUUUGAAACUGGCUGAUAGGGCUACCAC
rnacentral:lncRNA from 1 species